GAUGAACGCUAGCGGCAGGCUUAAUACAUGCAAGUCGAGGGACAGCACAGGUAGCAAUACUGGGUGGUAACCGGCAAACGGGUGCGGAACACGUACACAACCUUCCUUUAAGUGGGGGACAGCCCAGAGAAAUUUGGAUUAAUACCCCGUAAUAUAGUUGAAUGGCAUCAUUUGAUUAUUAUAGCUUCGGCGCUUAUUGAUGGGUGUGCGGCUGAUUAGAUAGUUGGCGGGGUAACGGCCCACCAAGUCUACGAUCAGUAGCUGAUGUGAGAGCAUGAUCAGCCACACGGGCACUGAGACACGGGCCCGACUCCUACGGGAGGCAGCAGUAAGGAAUAUUGGUCAAUGGACGCAAGUCUGGACCAGCCAUGCCGCGUGAAGGAUUAAGGUCCUCUGGAUUGUAAACUUCUUUUAUCUGGGACGAAAAAAGGCUAUUCUUAGUCACUUGACGGUACCAGAUGAAUAAGCACCGGCUAACUCCGUGCCAGCAGCCGCAGUAACAC
rnacentral:rRNA from 1 species